AGGGGCGUAGCUCAAAAAAGACUAGAGCGUCUCGCUAAAGGCGAGAAGGUUGGAGGUUCAAGUCCUUCCGCCUCUACCA
rnacentral:tRNA from 1 species